ACAAGGAUUCCCCUAGUAACGGCGAGUGAAGCGGGAAGAGCUCAAAUUUGAAAUCUGGUAGCCUUCGGCUGCCCGAGUUGUAAUCUAGAGAAGUGUUUUCCGUGCCGGCCCAUGUACAAGUCCCUUGGAACAGGGCGUCAUAGAGGGUGAGAAUCCCGUCCUUGACAUGGACCCCCGGUGCUUUGUGAUACACUUUCAACGAGUCGAGUUGUUUGGGAAUGCAGCUCAAAAUGGGUGGUGAAUUCCAUCUAAAGCUAAAUAUUGGCGAGAGACCGAUAGCGAACAAGUACCGUGAGGGAAAGAUGAAAAGCACUUUGGAAAGAGAGUUAAACAGUACGUGAAAUUGUUGAAAGGGAAACGAUUGAAGUCAGUCAUGCUCUUUGGAUUCAGCCGUUCUGCGGUGUAUUUCCAUUGAGUGGGGUCAACAUCAGUUUUGACCGCUGGAUAAAGGCACUAGGAAGGUAGCACUCUCGGGUGAACUUAUAGCCUAGCGUCAUAUACAGUGGUUGGGACUGAGGAACGCAGCAUGCCUUUAUGGCCGGGAUUCGUCCACGUACAUGCUUAGGAUGUAGACAUAAUGGCUUUAAUCGACCC
rnacentral:rRNA from 1 species